GGCGAACCGUGCGAACGUUGUUCGGAAUCACUGGGCUUAAAGGGCGCGUAGGCGGGCUAUCAAGUCCGGGGUGAAAUCCUCCAGCUUAACUGGAGAACGGCCUCGGAUACUGAUGGUCUCGAGGAGGAUAGGGGCACACGGAACUGUGGGUGGAGCGGUGAAAUGCGUUGAUAUCCAUAGGAACUCCGGUGGCGAAAGCGGUGUGCUGGAUCCUUUCUGACGCUGAGGCGCGAAAGCCAGGGGAGCAAACGGG
rnacentral:rRNA from 1 species